CAGCCGCCGCGGGAAUACGUAGGUGGCAAGCGUUGUCCGGAAUUAUUGGGCGUAAAGGGCUCGCAGGCGGUUUCUUAAGUCUGAUGUGAAAGCCCCCGGCUCAACCGGGGAGGGUCAUUGGAAACUGGGAAACUUGAGUGCAGAAGAGGAGAGUGGAAUUCCACGUGUAGCGGUGAAAUGCGUAGAGAUGUGGAGGAACACCAGUGGCGAAGGCGACUCUCUGGUCUGUAACUGACGCUGAGGAGCGAAAGCGUAGGGAGCGAACAGGAUUAGAUACCCCUGUAGUCCCUGUCUCUUAUAC
rnacentral:rRNA from 1 species